GUGAUUGUGACUUCCUCAGACCUUGCCCAUUUCUUCUAGGUUGUCCAUUUUAUUGGUGUAUAGUUACUUGUAGUAGCCUCCUAUGAUCCUUUGUAUUCCUGUUGUGUCAGCUGUAAUGUUUCCUUUUUUAUUUCUGAUUUUAUUGAUUUGAGCACUCUCCCUUUUUUUCUUGAUGAGUCUGGCUAAAGGUUUAUCAAUUUUGUUUAUCUUUUCAAAG